UUGUGGGUUUUUGGCCGGCAAAGACUGUAUUUCCUGCCUCGUCCAGACUUGCUAAUGAGGCACCUGUGACAUCUGACAGGACCUUCCUACAGAGAUGUGGGAAAAAAAAAUAAAUAGCAGAGGGAGAGGGAAGACGAAGCAUCAUUUUGGAAGCAUGAGAACUUCUGAAACAUUAAUCUGAUGCUUGGUGGUGAAGGAAGAGAUUGGAGGACAUCAGAGGUGCUUCAGCAAAGUUUGCUGGUGACUAGAAGUUUCUUCACUUUCAUGUAGCAUGCCCAGAGCCACCUGAAGCCCAUCUAUUACAAUAUGAGCUAUUCCCCCUCGGUUUUGUUCCUGGUCUCAGUGUCGCAUGGCUUUGGAAUGCAAAUGUAAAGUAACAUUUUGUGGAACUCAAAAAGCUUUGGUAAUUAUUUUCAAAAAGCUGAGCUUUUCUGAAUUUCCUUUCUUGUUAGCAGCAGGGCUAAGUCUGCCCUAAGAAUAUUGCAUUUCAUAAUCUCUUGGUUCCUACCGGCCCCAGGUGUAAGACAAGCGUAAGACCCCCAGACUUUCCGAGCAGGAGGAGCGCUGUGCAGUGGUGGACUCUGGCAGCUCCCGUUUCCUCCUCAGGGACUGUGGGAGCAGAUGCCCGGGGCUUCAUUUUUCCUGGGAUUUCUUUCUUUCCUCUCUGAUUCUGUGUUGGGUAAUUAAGGACUGAAAGUUUGCCUUAAGUGCAGCCUUGGGAAUUGUAUUUUACUGCAGACAGUGUUCCCUGUUAUCAGUUAUUGUAUUAUAAUAGGGCCUAAAAAUCCAGUGCGCACGUAAUCCUUUCUUGGAAAGGUUUAGCAUCGAAACACAUUAACCAUGGAGGUAGAUAAGAAGAUGUCUACGAUUAUGGAGCACUGUGGCACUGUAAAUGGAGGUAACUUGAGCCAGCGUGGGCUGGAAAGACGCAGGCACUGGUGGCAAAUAGCUCAAAUCCCAUUUUGGUGCCUCCAGCGCAAAAUUUGAAUCCCUUAGCAAGGGAAUGGAAACGCCACAGGGGACAGAAUCGUUACUAACCAAAAUAGCUGACAUCAUCUGUGGUUGUAUGGGAACUUGCCUGUCGGUAGGGGUAUAUAUCAAUUUCCUGGUGUGGAUUUUCCGUAGUAAUUUAUCACUCCAGCAAAAAUAAAAACCCCAACAAAACCCAAACAAAUGAAGUGAAAAAAAAAAAAAAAGUGCAAUGUCUCAUAAUAAGCGCUCUCUGUUGUGGCAGCAGCUGCAGUUUCUCCUCUCAGAUUUCUUUUCUGCUAUUACUCAGAAAGAAUCAGCAGCUGCUUAGGAAAUAUUCCAGAAAGAUUCAUUGAGAAGUUCCUGGUUGUUUUUCACAUACUAAUCUGACAGAAGUAACGUCUUCAAGGAGAGGACUGGCUCUCCUGUUUUUUGUCUGCUGCUCAUAAAUUAGUGGCUUCUGAUAACAUGGUUAUCUGAAAGGAAACAGCAGGAAAAAUCCAGAAACAACAGGUCCAGGUGAUGGGAGACAAGUACAUUCUUUAUGUCACAGAGGGGGGUGUAAAAAUUGCUUAGGUUAUUUUAAUGAUCAGUUUUGCAUCUCUUCAAAAACUUCUGCUCAACCAACUGCUUUCCAAAUGGGUGUAUCUGGAGGCAACACCCAACAGAGGGAUCAUUUGGACGACACACAACACAGGCUCCUCUAAAAGUAGCGUACCUUCAGGACAUAUUAACUCCGGAGUUAUUUCGGUGCUGUCAUUGUGCUCUGUGCUUUAGGGCUGGAGUGUGCUGCCAUCAGAGCCCAGCCGGAGAAGCUGUCGGGGUGGAGAUCAGUGGGACGAUCCAGAUCCGUGCCUGUGAGCAGGCACUCCUACUGCUGAACUUUGCUGUUCCUUAUUGCAUGCCUUCUUUUAACUAGGGGGCCUGCUUGACAAGAGCACUUCUCCGCAGAAUGAGGAAGCCUAACGAGAGCCAGAGCUGAUACCUGACCCCAGUCAGGGAGCUGGUAACCAGUGGCUGUUAAACAGGUGAGGGGGAUAGAGGGGAGCGAUCGUGUCAAGGCUCAGAGUUCCCCAAACCGUGGCUGGAAGCUGUUACCCUGAGCUUUUCCCCUGCUGUUGGCCCCUGGUUAUAAAACAAAUCACAUCCCCAUUUCCAGCUCUCUGGUGCACGAGGGCACAAUUUGAACAUUAUCUUUUGAAUGAUGUUUGCUCGUCAUUCAAAAUCAAAGCCUGUUUGCCCUUCCCCUGUCCUUCUGUGUCACAGGCAGCCCUGCCUCUGAGGGCACUCCAGGAAAAAUCCAAAGCUCCUGCUGGCAUCCAGAACUGGAGACAUGGGUCUUCACAGAGCCAAUAUGGAGCUUCCAAAGCUCUCAAGACCAUGAAUCUUGCUGCAUGGAAAAUUAAAUGCAUGAGAAGUGCUCCAACAUGUGCUGAUGGAAGCAGUCGGAGAAGACCGGCGACAGAAUCUCAACAAGAAACGCAAAAUGCAUUACCUGCUAUGUAAGAUAUCAGUAAAGACCUUAAUUUCUUGAAGAUUGUUUUUUCCUUUGAUGCUCGUUAUUUCUGAGAGCCUGUGGGUUCAGUAGCAGAUUGUAAUGAUGUUUUCAAGUUGACUGCUUGAUUGUUCUAAUUCAGAUCCUGUGGAUUUUCAGUGUUGGUAGCUAAGUGGAUUUCAGUGGAUUUUCAGUUAGACCAGCUGAGCACCACUGGACUUCUCGUUCUGCAGUGGUCAGGUAGCUCUGCUGAGCUGGUGUUACUCACACGGGGCACCACCUUCUUCUAGGUGGCAGCUGAAACAUUGACAAUAUUCAGAUAAAUAAGUCCAGAUUCAUACGUCAGAAGAUGAUUCCAGAAUUGGCUUGGCAUUUUAUUAACAUAUCAGAAGGCUAUUGCCAUGGAUUUGUCAGUCUCCAGAUAUAUAAAAUUCACUAGGAGUCCCUGUCUGAGACAGCACCAGAAAACUAGCUCUAUAGGAAAGCAACAUCACGGGGAGUGCCUAUCACCUGGUAAAUAUGGCUGGUUUUCAAAUGUUCUUGUGAAUGAGCAUUGUUGCUUUUAAUCUAGAAACGGAUGCAGGGGUUUAUAGAGGCUUAGUGCCUGAAUGGCUUGCAGUCUUGUUCGAUCGGCUGGUGAGAUGUAAGCAGAGGCAACAUGAAAUCGCAGAAGAGAUACCCACAUGCAAACCUUGUAAAACACAGUGUUUUCUGGGGAUAGAAAUGUAAAUUCCAAGUAAGUGAGAAUGAAAAACAAACAAACAAGAGAAUGGGGAAAUGAGAUUUUAACAUUUAGAAGUGGACCCCUCCACCAAGGGAUUUAAUCUGUGCUGCUGUUACUGGCCCGUUGCUCUAGGUAGUAGGAGCGAGGCUUCCAGCUGCCAGUCAACCAUUUUCUUUUUGAUAAUUAUUCACAUUGCUGUAGAAACGGAAAUUAUCUCUAUUUUCUCACUUCCCAAUUGAAAACUGUAAUUGCAGCUGCUCCCUCCUCCUUGUUUGGAAGUUUUACAUGCAGAGAGUCAUCAGCCAGGCUUGCCUUAAAUCAAAUCUUCCAGCCUGGGUUAUAAUCUAGCGAGCACAGCAGCUGCCUAGUCUCAGCAAGGAGAAAAGCAACACAUUUCUCCAGCCACUAGUUAGGGAAUUCCUGCUAAAAGAAGGGGGCUAUGCCUCGUCUGUUGCCUUUAUACAGAUGUAAAGGAGUCAUUUUCCUAAGGGCUUCACAGAUAUUGCUAAUCAUCUGAAACUGAAACGGGGUUUCCAAAACCAGCAUGUAAAUCCCCAUAACACACCUUCGAUUUCUGUCUCCAAGGCUACCCAGCUGCCCUGAUCCUCUGUGACAAGCUCUGGAAAUGCCGUGAUACUUCCUUUUGCAGUAGUCCCUCCUCGCUCUCCAAUCCUCCUUGCUCUUGGGUCAUAUUGCUCACAUAAGACACCGCUCCACAGCAUUGCUGCCAUGGUGGUGGGUGAAGAGCUGGCCUGAAAGCCCGUGGGAAGUCUGACUGGCAGGGAAUGCACAGGCUGUCAUCACUUCCACCAACGGAGGAAUGUGGAUUUCCUUGGGGAUACAAGAAAAUAGCUAGAGCCCCUGUGCAGACUUCCCAGUUUUGCUCGCUCAUCUGUGCAAAGGCUGGAUCAGAGGUCUCUUUAAAACAAUACUAACAGUAUUUAUUCAUGCUGCUUUUACCAAACCUUCUUAUUCUGCUGUAAGACAUGCGAUUCACAAAAAAUAGCAACUACUCCCCCGUCACAGAAGUGUAUUUUGAGGGACAUAGUAUAUGCAGCCUUAUUGGAUAUUUUCCAGUGACUUUAUAUGCAGGCACUGCUUUCUCACAGCCAAAAUCUGCCCUCUUCUGAAGUCUCUUGGGUCUAAAUUAGUGAGUCUUUUAUAUAUCGUGAUUUGAAUCUGAAUGUGUUUCCCUGCUUGCCGUCCCUGCGGUCACAGAGCAGGCAAGGAGACUUUGUGCUGUAGUUUACCUUGUGACGUUUUUGCUUGGCUGUCCUGGUGAACCCCAUGAUCCACAGGCACAUUCCCCGUGUUGCCAAUACAGGAGCACCUUCUAAAACUGACCAUCUUCAAGGAUGCAAGAUUUGCAAAGGCACAGACGCAUGGAGCAGCGUCCUAGCAGACAGCAGGAGCCCCCAGCUGAUGGCUCAUCUGAAGGUCUGGGGCGAGACACAGCUCCUCUGAGAAGUUAGCGUUUGAGUUGCUUCCCUGGCCAUUAUCCAAGACUCACAGAAGAAAUGCUGGAUGAGCUGAUGAGCCUUUUGUACUGCAGAUACCCCCAAAAUGCUGCAGGGUCAACAGCCAAGUGCCAAACUAGAAUCAGUGAGGCCUUACGUAGACACUCAGAAAUAACAAGCCAACCAGUGGAUUUGCAGGCACACUGUAACAGCUUGUUAUCUGAUGUCCCCUGGGCACAAACACUGAGACAUCUGCAGUUUUUGACCUGCUUUUUUUUUUUUUUUUCCUUCUUCUUUUCUUUGCCGGCUCAACAGCUAGUUAGCUGGUCAGCCGAUGUGAAAACGAAACAGCAAAUUGCAAUAGGUAGGAAACGUUGGGCUAUUAGGAUGACAAAAGGCCUGGAAAUAAAAAAGUACACAGGUUGCUUUGCUGUCCAUUAUUAUUUGUGCAUCAAGCUCUUGGAGUUUGUUUCUGGAACUCUGUUAAAAGCAGAGGUUUCACUUCGCCUGUUGUCAUUGAACUUUUAUAUUGGUUUUAUUUUGCAUGUAUUUUGCAUCUCUAAUCUCUUUGCUUGGCACUGUAAGUUAGAAAUGAACCUGAAAAAUGCGUAUUGAGACUUCACUGACUUCUCCUGAUAUUUGUCUGAGAACACAAAGCUCUCUUUCUAACAUCUCCUCCAGUCCCAUCAGGGGGAGGGAAGACCCCCAGAAGACUGACUUGUGGAUCGUCCUUUGGACUGAGAUCCCUGCUCCUUGGGAUGCAGUGAGUGCAGUAGCUUACACUGUGCCUCUUUCCUCUUUCUAGGCUCUCGUUAAUAAAGAGUGUGCCCAGAUUGUCAGACAGGGUCACGAUCACCAGCCCCAGCCUAAUCUCAUAAUGAACUCCUGUUAACGUAAAUGCACUUGAAAAGAUUCUUCUAGCCACAGUGUUCAUGAAAUUAGGAGUCCUCUCUUGAAGAGACAGCUUGUCUCUUCUUUCAUGGUUCGCUAUAGUGACA